rnacentral:rRNA from 1 species
GAGUUUGAUCGUGGCUCAGGACGAACGCUGGCGGCAUGCCUAAUACAUGCAAGUCGAACGCACGAAGUUGAAAAGCUUGCUUUUCGACCAAGUGAGUGGCGGACGGGUGAGUAACACGUGGGUAACCUGCUCAUAAGAGGGGGAUAACAUUCGGAAACGGAUGCUAAUACCGCAUAUUUCAAGUGACCGCAUGGUCGCUUGAUGAAAGGUGGCUUCGGCUACCACUUAUGGAUGGACCCGCGGUGCAUUAGUUAGUUGGUGAGGUAAUGGCUCACCAAGACCAUGAUGCAUAGCCGACCUGAGAGGGUGAUCGGCCACACUGGGACUGAGACACGGCCCAGACUCCUACGGGGGGCAGCAGUAGGGAAUCUUCCGCAAUGGACGAAAGUCUGACGGAGCAAUGCCGCGUGAGUGAAGAAGGUUUUCGGAUCGUAAAACUCUGUUGUUAGAGAAGAACAAGGAUGAGAGUAACUGCUCAUCCCCUGACGGUAUCUAACCAGAAA